rnacentral:lncRNA from 1 species
CACCCAAACUGACCCUUCCACCAUAAAUUCCUAUACACCCUAUCUCAUCAUCUAUCUUGGGGCCCCAAGUUAAUUUUUGGCCUAUUUCACGCUCGAACCCGGGGCGUACCCAUAGAACCGUAGGCUAUAGCACACCCAUUUUGCCUAAAAAUGACCUGUUCGUGUAGUUUAGCCCAUUUGACCACCGAAACCGCCUCUUCCACCCCAAAGUCCCGUACUCCCCCACUCAGCAACCAUCCUGGGAGACCCAAGUCAAUUUAUGGCCUAUUUAACGCGCGAACCCCAGGAAAACCCCUAAAAUUGUGGGCUUUAGCACAUCAAUUUGUCACAAAAACGUCCCAUUCAUGCCGUUUUGCCUGUUUGACCACCCAAAUUGCCCCUCCCACCCACAAGGAACAUACUCCACUGCUAUUCAGCCAUCCUGGGGGGCCAGGUCAAUUUUUGGCGUAUUUCAUGACCCCACCUUAGGAACACCCUUGAAACCAUGGGCGAUAGCACACUGAUAAGGCCCAAAUAUAGCCUUUUUUGGCUACUCCCCCAUUUGAUCAUCCAAACUGCCCCUCCCACCCAAAGGUCCACACUUUCCUACUCAUUAGCUGUUCUAGAAGCCCCAUGUCAAUUUUUCGCCUAUAUCACAACCGGACCCCAAGCACACCCUCAAAACCGUGGGCUAUAGCACAUAAAUUUGGCCCAAAAAUAGCCCGUUCAUAUAGUUUUGCCCGUUUGACCACCCAAACUGCCUCUCCCACCCCAAAGGCCCACACUCCAACACUCUCCAGCUCAUCAUCCAUCCUGGGAGCCCCAAGUCAAUUUUUAGCCCAUUUCAUGCCCUAACCCGAGGCACACCCCCAGAACCAUGGGUUAUAGAACAAUGAUUUUGCCUAAAAAUAGCCCAUUCGUGCAGUUUUGCUCAUUUAACAACCCAAAACUGCCCUUCCCACCCUAAAGGCCCAUACUACUUCGCUUAUCCACCAUUCUGAGAGCCCUGGGUUGAUUUUUGGCCUAUUUUACUCCCCGACCCCGAGCACCCCUUGGAAUCAUGGGCUAUAUCACACUGAUUUAUCCCAAAUAUGGUUGGUUCAUGCUGUUUCUCCCAUUUGACCACCCAAACUGCCCCUUCCAUCCCAAAAACCUACACCCCACUACUUAUCAUCUAUUUUGGGAGCCUCAGGUCUACUUUUGGUCUAUUUCACGCCCCUUCCCUAGGCACACCCCCAUAACCGUAGGCUAUAGUAUGUCGAUUUGGACCAAAAAUGGCCCAUUCAUGCCGUUUUACCUGUUUGACCACCUAAACUGCCCCUCCUAACCCAAAGGCCCACAAUCUUCCUCAGUCAGCCUGGGAGCCCUAGGUCAAUUUUUGGCCUAUUUUAUGCCUGGAGCUCGGGCAUAUCCUUGAAAUCGUAGGCUGAUAGCACACAGAUUUGGCCCAAAAAUUAGUCGUUUACGUCGUUUUAUCUGUUUGACCACCCAAACCGCCACUCCCACCACAAAGGCCCAUAUUCCCC